rnacentral:lncRNA from 1 species
AUGGCCUCCCUCCAAGGGACGUGGCCUCCAACCAAGGGGCAGGGGACACAGCCACCCCACAAGGGACAUGGCCUCCCCCCAAAGGGGCAGGGGACACGGCCUCUUCCCAGGGGACAGGGCCUCCCCCCAAGGGGACAGGGAAAACAGCUUCCAUCCGGGGUCAGGGGACAGGGCUCCCCCCCAAGGGGACAGGAUCUCCCCCAGGGGACACGGCCUCCAUCCCGGGGACAUGGCCUCCCCCUUUGGGCCAGGGGUCUCCCCAAAGGACAAGGGACACGGCCUCCCCCGGAGCCAUCUCCACGGGGUUUUCACACCAACCACAAACCCGCUGCCCUCCCCGAGCCCCCUCCCACAAUCACACAAACCCCACAGGCCCCUCCUCGCCCCCUGACACCCCCCAAAAUCCCCUCUGCGCACCCGUGCCGGGAAGGAGGAGCCCCAGCUGUGCAGGAGUUGUCCUUUAUUGGGGGUUCACAGUUGGUUCGGGGGGAGCAGCGCCUUCCACCCCUGCAAGCGGAGCUGGAACCCGAAGAUGGGGGGGCCCAGGGCUGGAGAGAGCUGCAGGGUGAAGCAGGGAGGGGUGGGGGACACCCCCACGGCUCAGGCCCUACAAGACCGGCCGGGAUACGAGGGCUCCAGCGCUUCCCUCUCCGUGUCCGUGGUGUCCCCGGGGUUCUUUGGCUUCCUUUGGGCAUUGCACGCUCCGGGGAAGUGCCGAGGGAGGGGGGGGGAAAAAAUCUCAUUGCGUGUGCCCCGGGCACGUCCCCACCUUAUCCCUUGGUGCAGCUUUCCCUUCAGCAGCCUUUUCCCUGCCCCACGGCAGCGCCGCGUCCUCCCCGGGUGGAGCUGUGGGGCCGUGGGGUCUGGGACCUGAGGCUCCGGCCCCGUAGGAUCGUUACGGGGCUGCUGGGUGACGCUGGGGAGGGGAUUUGGGGCCGGGAGAAAAAAAACAACAAAAACCAAACGUGUCCAGGAGCUGCUGUCCUCAGUUCCUCGCCGCGAUGA